AUGCAGAGAGUUGCAGAUGUGACUAAACAGCUGGAUAUUGCUCAGAAGACCAUCAACUCUCUGGAAAACGUCAAUGUUCCCUCGUUCAUUAAAGAGUUGUUGAGAAAUCACUUUGAUUCUCGGGAAGCACUGGAGCACUUCUUAUGUCCUCGAACAUCUCCACGCCAACCUGAUAUUGACCAAUCAGAGAGGGCGCAGGAGGUCAGAAACAACCAACCAUCUGGUGGAAAAGAGGAAGUAUUUGAAUGGCCACAGACUGGACACACAUGUUCAGGUGCCAGACAACUGUCUGCCACAGCCUUUCUGCCAUGGAAACAUGAUCAUGAUCCAUGGGCAGGGCCAGGACAACUCAUGGCUAAAGGAAGUGAUUCACAACUUCCUUUUUCUUUUGAUGAUGAUGUGCCAAUCCACAAAACAAUGGCAGAUACAAAGGCCCCAAGUCAUCAAGUGCAUCAAUUAGCCAUGAACACAGAGAUCCACUUAAUUCCCCCAAACCCAUAUAAUUUAGAUGAGAUGAGGUUCAGCAGAAAGACAGGUGGAGAGGGAAGCAUCACUGUGGGGAAAGAGCCCACUGAUGUCAGCUAUCUUACUGCUCAUAGGAUGCUGAAUGAGUUUUUGAACCAGAUUCCUCCUCCAGUGCAUGAUGGUGAAGGGAAAGAUAGCUUAUAAGCAGAACUAUAACAAAAGGAAAGCAGUAACAUUUAAUUUGACAUCUUUUUGGUAAACUGUAUAGGAACUGGAUAAAAAUCUCAAUAACGUCUCCCAUUACCAAUAUUGCAGCAAGGAUGCAAAUAACUGUGGCUCUGAUGGCUCUUUAUUGGUAGUUGUGAAAUACACUUGAUUUCUAGCUUUACAAGUAUAAUUGCUGUAUGCAUAUAAGUAUGUAGAUACGGUAUACCAUCUGGUUUUGUGCUAUAUCCAUUAAAACUUUUAGUUUUCAUUUGUAGUUCAGUACAUUUGCAAAAGGCAUCCUUUGUAUUUGUGUUUUAUGCCUGUUUGCACUUUUUGCCGUGCAUAUUGUGAAAUAUUUAAGGUUAGCAAUAAAAUUGUAUAAUUCGAUAUUCA
ensembl:lncRNA